rnacentral:rRNA from 1 species
CAGUCGCCGCGGGAAUACGGAGGGUGCAAGCGUUAAUCGGAAUUACUGGGCGUAAAGCGCACGCAGGCGGUUUGUUAAGUCAGAUGUGAAAUCCCCGAGCUUAACUUGGGAACUGCAUUUGAAACUGGCAAGCUAGAGUCUUGUAGAGGGGGGUAGAAUUCCAGGUGUAGCGGUGAAAUGCGUAGAGAUCUGGAGGAAUACCGGUGGCGAAGGCGGCCCCCUGGACAAAGACUGACGCUCAGGUGCGAAAGCAUGGGGAGCGAACAGGAUUAGAUACCACAGUAGUCCCUGUCUCUUAUAC